GUGCCCCCUCGCGGGGACCCGGAAGGCCUCGCCGCCUCAGGGCGAUCCCGCCGUUAUCUGCCCGCUCCGGGCCCGCGGGGGGCUGCGGAGCGGUGUCAGUCCGCCCGGCGGCCUCGGGGAGGGGAGGCUCCCCGGAGCCAGUCGCGGCUUUUACGGUAAAGAGCAGCUAGCGAGGCGGGCGGUGGCGGCCCGCCCGGGGCACGUUUGUCAGCGGCCCUGCGUGUGGUAAUUCUGCCGCCCCGUGGGGCUCCGGCCCGGCCCAGAGCCCUCGGACCCGGCUCUGGGAGGACAAGUGCAACCACCCCCCUCCCCGUUUUUUGAGUUUUGUAAGUCAAAUCCUGCCCUCACGGAAAACGUUUUUCGAAUAGACCAUGGAAAUCUUUAAUUGGUGCUAAGCAUCAGCAGUUCCUGUUGAUUGAGUUCCACGAACAGACAGAGAUGCCGAACAACUGAGAGCAGCAGUGCCUGACCUUGAAGCAGAAGCACCACUUCAGGUGGGAUGUACCCCAGUAAUGCCUUGGGAGGGUGGUAUCUUCAGGCUGGAAUUGGCAGCAACCAACAUGGUCUGACUCUUCCCAAAACAAAAUACUGCUAGUUCUUCCCUGAAGGUUGCACCCCUUUGCUGCCCAUGACGUGAGCCUUACCUGCCCAAGAGGAAAGUGCUGCUUUCUGUGGUAUAUUGACUGACAGCCUUGACACUCCACUUUUUUACUUCAGAAAAUGGUUAGUUACCUCUCCUUUCUAGCAUAACUGGAUGGAAGAGGAGGACAACUGCCAUCCUUUAAGCCCCCAUGGGUUAGAGUGUUGUAGGAUUUGGAAUACCUACUUUUAAUUGCUGAUUUCCUAAGGAGCCCUAACAGAACAGUACCGCUUCUUAGGAAAAUGCCCUAAGUAGGCACUACUUCCGCCGUUAGCAGAUGGGCUCUUUGGUGCAUGUGGGGCAUUGGAUGUGUUUUUUCAGUUCUCACUUUUAACUUUCUUCCUCUUUUCAUGAAUGUUUAAGCAGUCAGAAUGUGAGUGAGAGGGAGAAAACUCUUCAGGCUAAUGCUUACUAAACUUAUUAAGAGGAAGAUCUGUUGUAGUGCAUGUUACGUAUUUCAUAUAAAACUAGUUUGGAUAAUUUUUUUCCCCAUUUUAUUCUACAAUGUAAAAAUAAAUUCAGUUAUUGGAUCACAACCUGGAACUCCAUGCUUCCUGAGUUCCACAGCAUUCUACUACUCUUAAAACACUACUGAUUUACUCCCUUUCUUGAAAUUAUCUUUUUUCACACCCUAUAGGCCUAUAACAUAGUGUUGAGGACAAACUCUGGACAUUAUUUUGGCAUCCUAGAGGGAACAGGCAUUCAGGUAUUAACAGCUGAAUGUGGGAGAUUCCUGUUGUCAUUGCAAGAGAUUACCACACACAGGCUGUCUGUCCUGUCUUUAUUGGAAGCUUCAAUUUUAGUAGGAAAUGUGCUCCUCCUCUACAGCUGCUAUUCAGAGCCAAAAACAUUUUCAGGGAUUUGAGUUUGGGAUAAACUAAUGCAUCUGGCUCAGGUAAGGAGAGCCAUAGUAUGUGGGCUUGGUUACAAACUAGAUGCUGACUGAGAGAGCUCUAGAGGUGUACUCAAAGAAUGUACGGUGUGUAGAGAUACCCAGCACGUUCUGAUAAAAUCAGCUGCAAACAGCUGAGGAGUCAGCAUGUUUACUUUGCGACAUGUGCUGGAGGAACAGUAUCUUCCUUCAGAAGUGCAGGGUAGACAGCACGGAUGGUCACUUGUAAAAGUAAUGAAGUAUAAGCCAAAAGAGAAUCUAUGGAAUCAUCUCAGGCUGAAAAAGAAAUUGAAGCAUGCCAUGUCCCCUCGUCUCUGAUGAUUAAGAAGAAGGUGGGUGACCAAUGCACCGGCAGGUAUGAUGAACACCCUACUUUGCCUACUGCCUGAUCUUCAGCCUUGCUUAUAACAUGUCCAAAAAGAAAAAAUAACCUUUUACAGCAUUGUACUGUUGGAUAUGAACAGACCCUGGAACAUCCCUGCCUAUGACCAGAAGUAGAAUUUAUAUAGAGAAUGUUAAUACUCUUACUUGGUAAGCAUUUGAGUGAGGGCUUUGAGGAUUUCAGAUUAAGAUUUCCUGAAGUAGGAGACAAAUAAGACCAAUGGUUAGAAUUCCUGUAGUUCUAGCCUUUUAUAUCUCUCUAAAUCAUCACAUUUGUCUGCCUAAAUCUUGAUCACGUAGCUGUAAAGUUUUGCAGCAAAGUAUUACAUUUGAAUACACUGUAAAAUAGGGCAAGAAGCUCGAGAUCUGUAGGUUGAACAACUAGAUGCUGCAGCACAGUCACUGUUACUAACUACUAAAUUUGCUUCUAUGUCAGGCUUAUCUGUGAAGAAUUUAAUCUUAAGGUUUUAUUUCUUGUCAUUUUUCUUGAAAAGUAUUGAAGUGUGUGGAAUCUUGAGCAUUUUUUAAGGUCACUUUGGAGAAACAUAGGUUUAGCAUAGUUUAGUGUGGUUCAGAAUGGCUUGAUAGAUAAUGUCAAUUUCUAUUUUGUUUGUUCACCUUGCCAUUAAGGUGUGCUGUAAUUUUAAUGUAUGUAUGAUUUUCCUGAAAUAUUUGAUUUUUAAAGUAAUCCUUUGACUACCACUUACCAAUAUCUAGUGUAUUCAUUGGGAGUGCUUCCAGUAUUCUCUCCUUGAUGCUAAUGAGUCUUAGACCAUAUCCUUAAAGACUAGCACUUACCAAAAAAACCCAAGCCAACCAACCAACCAAAUUAUAUUAAUAUAAAGGUUUAUAGUAUAAUUAGGAAAAUAAAAUAUUUUAAUAUAAAGAAUAAUAGCUUAUAACGUAAAUGCUUCUAAGCUGACUCCAGUAUGGCUUUCUGACUUACGGGAAGGUAGUGUUUAAACCAAAGGCUUUGGAGUCAAAGAUUUAACAAAGACAGCCCCAAAAUACCUCCAUAAGUCAGUUUAUAUCACUGUGAAAACACAAUAAAAUAAAUAAACACAUUCUGGUAGCAAGUGUAAUCCAAAUAAUGUAGUACCCAUGUUGGAAUUCAUACAUAUUUAGUUCUAUGAUAUAUUGAGUUAUAGGGGUCACACCUUUUGUCACUGCAUGUAUGUACACUAUUCCCCUUCCUACUCAUGAUUAUGGAACUGCCACAUAUAUUUGCAUAAAACAGCUGCUUUAUGAAUAUUUAUGUAUUUAUGUCCUUUUUCAGUGUAGUUAAACAGCAGCAAAUGAAGAGUUCUGGCAAUGUGUUGCCAGUCUCAACUCUGCAGAAUGCCGAUUAAUACUUUGAAGAACAUCAGCAAUCAUGGAACCAGGUUUUCAAAAUAGAUGUGCGUGGAAAUCUGAAGUAUCAUACUUCCUGGAGCCGUAGAGGGCUAGCUGGAUACCCAGGCAGGAUAAUAAUUCCGUCCCACACCCCAGCUGUCUGUCUUGGUAGAAACUGUCUAUCUUAUACUUUGAGGAAGACUGUAUGGAAAAUUCUAUAGGCCGUAACUGGCCCCAGUGGAAAUAAAAAUUAAAGUUUUGGGCUUUCUUCCUUUUACUGUGCAACGAUAGUUUAAUUACCAGAGGAGUAUUUGCAGCUCUACCACUUCCCUGCUGAUGACUGUGAGAAAAUUACUUUGUCACAUGGUACUACAGUUUCUCCAUAUGGCAUAGGAAUAAUUAAACUUAUCUUCUCUGUGGGACAUCGUGAGGUCUGUGUAGGAAGCUGGAAGCUGAAAUUAUUUUAAGAACAUUGGGCAGACCAUAUUGAGGAAAGAAGCUUAUAUGGUUCUGACUUUGCCUAUCACAUCUUUUCUAGCUAGUCUGAACUGGCACGUGGCAGUUGUGGCAGCGACUGGGACCCCAGCCUACAUAGCUUUUGAGCAUCCGUACUGUUAGUGUAAACACAACCGUUGAAAUCAAUCAGUCUUACCCUGUCAUUUUGCACUUGUCAGGAAGCGUGAAAGAGCAGAUUUUGUCUGUCUUCUGCAGAGUUCUUUGGGGGAGUGCUGAAUCCUGUGUUACUUGAACUGAGUUCAUCAGAGCUUUUACUACAGGCGGAGCUCAGUACCUGCAGCUCCUAAUUCAAAUAAAUCUUCAUGCUUCUGUAGUAAG